UACGAAGGGGGCUAGCGUUGUUCGGAAUUACUGGGCGUAAAGCGCACGUAGGCGGAUAUUUAAGUCGGGGGUGAAAUCCCGGGGCUCAACCCCGGAACUGCCUUCGAUACUGGGUAUCUUGAGUUCGGAAGAGGUGAGUGGAAUUGCGAGUGUAGAGGUGAAAUUCGUAGAUAUUCGCAAGAACACCAGUGGCGAAGGCGGCUCACUGGCCCGAAACUGACGCUGAGGCACGAAAGCGUGGGGAGCAAACAGG
rnacentral:rRNA from 1 species